GGUCAUUUUCAGUAAGUAAGCGGAAGAGCAUAUCAAUAAGCGGAGGAUUUAUCUUGGUCAAUUAGAGGAAGUAAAAGUCGUAACAAGGUCUCCGUUGGUGAACCAGCGGAGGGAUCAUUAUAGAGUUUUCUAAACUCCCAACCCAUGUGAACUUACCAUUGUUGCCUCGGCAGAAGCUGCUCGGUGCACCUUACCUUGGGACGGCCUACCCUGUAGCGCCUUACCCUGGAACGGCUUACCCUGCAACGGCUGCCGGUGGACUACCAAACUCUUGUUAUUUUAUGGUUAUCUGAGCGUCUUAUUUUAAUAAGUCAAAACUUUCAACAACGGAUCUCUUGGUUCUGGCAUCGAUGAAGAACGCAGCGAAAUGCGAUAAGUAAUGUGAAUUGCAGAAUUCAGUGAAUCAUCGAAUCUUUGAACGCACAUUGCGCCCAUUAGUAUUCUAGUGGGCAUGCCUGUUCGAGCGUCAUUUCAACCCUUAAGCCUAGCUUAGUGUUGGGAGCCUACUGCUUUUGCUAGCUGUAGCUCCUGAAAUACAACGGCGGAUCUGCGAUAUCCUCUGAGCGUAGUAAUUUUUAUCUCGCUUUUGACUGGAGUUGCAGCGUCUUUAGCCGCUAAACCCCCCAAUUUUUAAUGGUUGACCUCGGAUCAGGUAGGAAUACCCGCUGAACUUAAGCGUAUCAAUAAGCGGAGGAA
rnacentral:rRNA from 1 species